rnacentral:rRNA from 6 species
CAGACCUCUAAUCGGAAAAGACUACCCGCUGAG